ensembl:lncRNA
AUGUCUGUCAGAAGAAUAAUGGAUGCACUCAGAUUGUCCGCUGCUAUUCUUCUACUUCUGUCUUUAUUCAGCUGUGGAAGCGCUAUACAGUUUCCCGACUCCCAUCUUCUCUCUCGUCCCUUCUUAGUGUCUUGUGGCUUUUGCUGUGCUGUGAGGCAAAUGAUUAAUGUCCUCAGAUCUGAGGCUGAUGUCACCCGUUCCACCCGGAAAGCUUCUCGAGAGAAGCACAAAGCAGGUAGCGCCUCUGUGCACUUUUGCCAUUAUUUAGAUGUUAUGAAUUGUCAUCAUCUUUGCUUCUGUAAUGAUUUGGGACCUGUCGUCCUCCUUUUAUUGAACUUUCAUGGCUUUUAUGAUAGUAAACAGACUUUUAGCUGUGAACUUAAAAAUGAAGUAAACAGUUUGCAUGGCUUAUUUUGAACUGAAUUCAUCUGAUUAUUAUAUUUUUAUGCCAAAAAAAGUGCCGUCAUUUACACUACCCUUCAAAAGUUUGGAAUUAGUAGUAUGUUUUUAUAUUUCUAAAAGAAGUCUUUUAUGCUCACCAAAGCUGCAUUAUUUGCUCCAUUACAAUUGAAAAAGACUUGUUUUCUAUUUUAAUAUAUUUGCAUGAUGGCAAAGCUGAAUUUUCAACAUCAUUACUCUUGUCAUCAGUGUCACGUGAUUCUUUAGAAAUUAUUCUAAUAUGCCGAUUUGAUGCUCAAGAAAAAUGACUGUGCUGCUUAACAUUUUUGUGGAAAUCAUGAUGUUUUUUCAGGAUUCUUUAAUGAGUUGAAAGUUCAAAAUAACAAAAAACAGAUGUAUUUACUGUAGUUUUUGAUCAAGAUAAUGCAUAAUAAAAAAUGAUUUCUGUAAAAAAAUAAAAAAUAAUACAUUCUUACUGCCACCAAACUUUUAAACACUGGAGAGCAAAGUACUUAUUAAAACUGAUAAUUUUUACUAAAAGUGACACGAAUGAACAAUCACUGGGUAAUUCAAACUGUCAAAUGGUCAAAAUGCAACCAAACUUAUUAAUGCCUCAGUGCAUGCUGGGAAAGAGGGUGUUUUGGACUGUACAAAACCAUUUUCCUUGUGCAAGCCUUUGAAAAAAUUUAGUUUGACUUAAAAAAAAAAAUUAAAGAUAUUAUAGUAGAAUAUUUUUAAUGAGAUGCAUUACUUCUAAAUGUUCAUAAACAUCUUUAUUUAUUUAUUUAUUUAUUUAUUUUGCUUUAGUAUUACAGUGGCAUGCGAAAGUUUGGGAACCCCUUGCAGAAUCUGUGAAAAUGUGAAUAAUUUUAACAGUCCUGAGUAAGAUAUUUUACAUAGAAGAUGUUUACAUUUAGUCCACAAGACAAAAAAAAAAAAAAACACAAAAAACAGCUGAAAUGAUUAAAAUAACCCCCUUCAAAAGUUUUGAACAGGAUGAAGAUGUCCAAAUUUUUCUUAUUUUGUUGAAAUAUCUUUUUUCCCCCUCCAUUUAGUACUGCCCUUCAGAAGCAACAGAACAUACUUGCAUGUUUCCCAGAAGACAAAUUAAGUACAAUUUACCUUGAUAUUCAAAUUCAGAAAGUUUUCACCCCCCAGUUCUUAAUGCAUCCCAAACUUUCGCAUGCCACUGUAUGUAUUAAAACCAAGAAUAAUUUAUUUUUACUGCCUUGACUUUGGAUCAGGACAUUGAGGUUGUUUCUCAGCACAUGUGAUGGAUUGUUUGUCCAUUAAACUUGAUUGAUGGUUCCAUAUAAUGUUUUUUUCUGGAUCUGGAGCCUCAUGUUUCAGGUUUCUGGGCCCCUGGGAUGACAGUACUGGAUCGGUUAGCCUCUCUUCAUCUUCGAAUCACACUUCUACAACAUUUCUGUCAGAGUCCUCGCCAUGUUGCACUUUGACUACAAGCAUAAUCAAAUUUCAUGCCUAAGCAGUUCGAUACAAGGGCCUUUCCUGUUUCUAGCCUUAUUCCUCCCGUCUCAGAGUGCAAAAUGAGCAUUAUUUGCCCUUUGGAAAUGAGCCGGCUCAUAGUCUUUGUGGCGUGGGUUUAACUGUGAACUACGGCUCCAGAGUUUUAGAUCUUUCCAGAAAGAAAGGUUUUGCUAGUACAUUAUGUGUUUGUGCUGUGCUUAUGGGUUUAGGGGCAGUUUUUUAACACCUUAGUUCAGCAGGAAGCCUUUUGUAGGUAUUUGCUGAGCCCUUUGAAAACAGCUGGGACCUAUUUUUGUCACUCAGACACUCGGGCAAAGUUAAAGCUCAGUCAGAUUCAGGGUGAAUGGCGGAGGACCAGAAUGCCCCUGCCCCCCGUGUCUUUCCAAUUAAUAUUCUUGUGCAAACUGCAUAGGAGUUUUUACUUUCUUUCCACACAAAUACAUUUACCUAGAUAUGUCAGUGAAAACCUUCAAUUGUUCCGUUCCAUUCAGUUGAUUUGUGUAAAGCUAAUUAUGAAUGUCAAACUGUUUUUGGGAGAAAAUUAUAUUUCUAUUUAUUUAAUUAUUUUUUUUAAAUAUUAUUUAAUGUAUAUUAAAUAUAAAUGUAUUUAUUAAUUUAUUUC